rnacentral:rRNA from 1 species
AUUGAACGCUGGCGGCAUGCCUUACACAUGCAAGUCGAACGGCAGCGGGCCUUCGGGUGCCGGCGAGUGGCGAACGGGUGAGUAAUGCAUCGGAACGUGCCAUUGAGUGGGGGGAUAACGUAGCGAAAGUUACGCUAAUACCGCAUAUUCUGUGAGCAGGAAAGCAGGGGACCGCAAGGCCUUGCGCUCUUUGAGCGGCCGAUGUCAGAUUAGCUAGUUGGUGAGGUAAAGGCUUACCAAGGCGACGAUCUGUAGCGGGUCUGAGAGGAUGAUCCGCCACACUGGAACUGAGACACGGUCCAGACUCCUACGGGAGGCAGCAGUGGGGAAUUUUGGACAAUGGGCGCAAGCCUGAUCCAGCCAUGCCGCGUGAGUGAAGAAGGCCUUCGGGUUGGUUAAAGCUCUUUCGGUCCGGGAAGAAAUACGGCAUGGGUUAAGUACCCU